UACGAAGGGGGCUAGCGUUGCUCGGAAUCACUGGGCGUAAAGGGCGCGUAGGCGGCUUGGCAAGUGGAUGGUGAAAUCCCUCGGCUUAACCGAGGAACUGCCAUCCAGACUGCUUUGCUUGAGGCCGGGAGAGGUGAGUGGAAUUCCCAGUGUAGCGGUGAAAUGCGUAGAUAUCAGGAGGAACACCGAUUGCGAAGGCAGCUCGCUGGAACGUUACUGACGCUGAGACGCGAAAGCGUGGGGAGCAAACAGG
rnacentral:rRNA from 1 species